GUGAGUCAUCGAAUCUUUGAACGCAUAUUGCGCUCGAGACCUCGGUCAAGAGCAUGUCUGGCUCAGCGUCGUUUCACCCACUCGCCACCUUUUCCCUCUUCUCUCGAAGAAGGGCGGUCUAGAAAGGCGGACCUGGCUUUCCCCGUGACUCUUGGGACGAACGGGGUCGGCUGAAGAACAGAGGCUUGAGCAUGGCGCCGCACGAUGGCAGCCGGCUUGGUAGGUGGCUCACGCUACAUGCCGCCGGAGGCCGCAGCGCCAUGUUGUAAGGCCCGCAGGAACCGGCCCUCGCGGUCGGAC
rnacentral:misc_RNA from 1 species